rnacentral:rRNA from 1 species
UAACGCGUGGGAAUCUACCUAGUAGUUGGGGAUAGCCCGGAGAAAUCCGGAUUAAUACCGAAUAAGGUCUACGGACGAAAAAGUGCCUCUUCUUGAAAGCACUUGCUACCAGAUGAGCCCGCGUUAGAUUAGUUAGUUGGUGGGGUAACGGCCUACCAAGACGACGAUCUAUAGCUGGUUUGAGAGGAUGAUCAGCCACAUUGGGACUGAGACACGGCCCAGACUCCUACGGGAGGCAGCAGUGGGGAAUAUUGGACAAUGGGCGCAAGCCUGAUCCAGCAAUACCGCGUGUGUGAAGAAGGCCUUAGGGUUGUAAAGCACUUUUAUGUAGGAAGAAGAUAUGUUUGUUAAUAGCAGGUGUAUUUGACGGUACUACAAGAAUAAGCACCGGCUAACUCCGUGCCAGCAGCCGCGGUAAUACGGAGGGUGCGAGCGUUAAUCGGAAUUACUGGGCGUAAAGGGUACGUAGGCGGUCUGAUAAGUCAGAUGUGAAAUCCCCGGGCUUAACCUGGGAACUGCAUUUGAAACUGUCAUACUAGAGUGAGUGAGAGGUUAGUGGAAUUCAAGGCGUAGCGGUGAAAUGCGUAGAGGUCUUGAGGAACAUCAGUGGCGAAGGCGACUAACUGGCACUACACUGACGCUGAGGUACGAAAGCGUGGGGAGCGAACAGGAUAAGAUACCCUGGUAGUCCACGCCCUAAACGAUGAGGACUGGCUGUCAGUGCUAUAGACGCAUUGGUAGCGAAGCUAACGCGUUAAGUUCUCCGCCUGGGGAGUACGACCGCAAGGU